AACGAACGCUGGCGGCAUGCCUAACACAUGCAAGUCGAACGAGACCUUCGGGUCUAGUGGCGCACGGGUGCGUAACGCGUGGGAAUCUGCCCUUGGGUUCGGAAUAACAGUUGGAAACGACUGCUAAUACCGGAUGAUGUCUUCGGACCAAAGAUUUAUCGCCCAGGGAUGAGCCCGCGUAAGAUUAGCUAGUUGGUGAGGUAAAGGCUCACCAAGGCUACGAUCUUUAGCUGGUCUGAGAGGAUGAUCAGCCACACUGGGACUGAGACACGGCCCAGACUCCUACGGGAGGCAGCAGUGGGGAAUAUUGGACAAUGGGCGAAAGCCUGAUCCAGCAAUGCCGCGUGAGUGAUGAAGGCCUUAGGGUUGUAAAGCUCUUUUACCCGGGAUGAUAAUGACAGUACCGGGAGAAUAAGCCCCGGCUAACUCCGUGCCAGCCGCCGCAGUAA
rnacentral:rRNA from 1 species